GUUUAAUUUAAUAAUAUUUAAAAAUAAAAGAUAAAAAUCUAAAAAAUUAAUUAUCUAUUAACGUGGAUUUGGACGACAAUAGGUUUUUAGUUUGUGAUGUUUCAUUUGAUAAUCAUUUUCAUGUUCAUCGUCUUUGAAUUGACAUGAGGAUAUCUAUGGAAAAGUAACUAAUCUGAAAGUAAGCCAACAUAUCGUUUGUCCUUUGUGUGCUAAAGAAAAGAUUUUCUUUUCGCAUCAUGAGGAAGUAUUACAUCAAUUAAAAAAUGUUAGGAAGUUGAUUACUUGUCAUGGAAAAGUAUACCAAUGGAAAUUAUUUGUUAAAGAAGUAUAAUUCUAAGGGUUUUAAGAAUAAAUUGGUUGAACCCAAAAUCUGGAGGAAGUACCCUAUAUCCAUACACAGAAUAUGCCCAUUAAAAAUACUAGUCCAAAUUUUCUUUAAUGGAACGAUUAGGGCCCGAUAUAUUUGAAACUCAUGUUGGACAUACUUGCCUAUAAAAUUGUCUCGCUAUCAAUUUCUAUGAAAAUGUAACAUAUUAUCUGGUUUUUUCUGUGUAGUCUUCAAAUGAUCUAAAAAUUCAGCAGGAAUGAUCCACAGCAGGAAUGAUUAUGCAGCAAACACACUGAUGUUGAAUCAUUGGAAGCUUUUUUGUGGGCAUUUCACAAAUAAAAUAAAAUGUCUGAUCAAAAACUGAAAAUGCAAAACAGAUAGUAAGCUUUAUAAAUACAUACAUAUAUAUAAAUAAUCAUACCUACAUCUAUUUAUGUCGGUACAA